rnacentral:lncRNA from 1 species
CCAAAGCUCCUCAUCUGAGCACUGCGGCUCUAUCGGCAGCAACAUCUCUCUCAGUGAGGGACGUUUCUUAUUAAUCAGGACCACUGAAUGGAAACCAAUCAGAUAGACAGUCCCUUUGGCUUCAUCUCCCUGCCUGCCUGAGUUAAAAGCGAUACUGGGAGAGAGGCUGCCUUAGUUAGAUAUAAGCACACACAGCGCUGGAUAUAGUGCUAGACGGAAGGGAGGAAGCAGGUAGAGAAGCAGCGCUGGAUGGGCAGAGCCGGGCUCACGCUGCCAGACACGAAUACUCUUUCACCUGUCCGGAUAGAAACUACAACCCUUUUCUGUCCGUCGUCUUUGUUUUUACUGAAAACAUCUAAUUAUAACAAACUCAGUUAAGAAGAAUGAAAAAUGAAGAGGUGUUUAGUACCAGUAAAAAUGAAGUAAUGAUGCUUUAUUUUUCUUUAGUUGUGGUAAUGGAAUGAUAUUUAUUUAAUGUGAUGGGUGAAGUGAAAGCUCAGGGCUCAGAAUGAUUGAGAUCUGAGGCAGAUGUUCCUCUGAAUGUUCAGAGCAGUAAGUCAAAGUCAACAGGCUCAAAGUAUAAGGCUGUUUUCCAGAAGCACUACCAAUAAUGCCAGUCCAGUGUUUGUAAACAGAGACUAGGAGAAAAAACAAGGCAGAAAGCAUAAAAGGCCAAACUGACCACCUGAUUUUGAAGUAAUCAGCAGAGAGCAACUGCCUGGUGAAUGACAUUUUACUUUUUUUUUUCCACAUGCAAGAGACACGCAGUCACUUCCACUCAAUUUCACUGUCAGAUGAGCUUCAGACAAAGAAUGAUGCAUAAGAAUCAUAAAGAAAUCCGUAUCCCCCUGUAACUAUAUGGUAACAUGCAUAGUGUAGUAGCCACUCACCAUCUCACAGACAGGUUUAAGUAGCAGGUGAGAACAGCAAAAUGAUAGUUUGGUUCGGAUACUUUCCAUAUGCAGGAGUAAGAUUUGUAAUCAAUGUAUCAGUCUCACUCUGAUUAAGUCAGUGACAAACCUAAUAUUUUACUUAAAUCACAGCAAGUUCGUGCUCCACUGUUGAGUACUAAACUAGUUUCUUAUGAUUAGAGAAAAGAUGGAUAAAAAGGCAAAUGUAAUACUUGUAAUAGUUUUGCUAAUGGGAUCAAAUGUCUUUUUUAAUAAAUAAUAUUGGUGAUAAGACUUGCUAAUGUUAGCUCUACAACUAUCAGUGGUUCCAAGUCAUUUUGCGCAGCUACAAUUUUCUUCCAAAAAAUGAGAAUGGACUAAUUAAAUAUUUAGGUGUCUCAUCACAUUUUUUUUCUAUGAUUACUAUGAAUUCUAUAGGAUUGUGUUAGUUUGUAAUGUAGGCAUAUUGCUAACUAUAUGUGAAUUUUAUAGAUAAAGUGCAUCAUCCC